rnacentral:rRNA from 1 species
GACGAACGCUGGCGGCGUGCCUAAUACAUGCAAGUCGAACGCAUUUUCUUUCACCGUAGCUUGCUACACCGAAAGAAAAUGAGUGGCGAACGGGUGAGUAACACGUGGGUAACCUGCCCAUCAGCGGGGGAUAACACUUGGAAACAGGUGCUAAUACCGCAUAAUUCCAUUUACCGCAUGGUAAAUGGAUGAAAGGCGCUUUUGCGUCACUGAUGGAUGGACCCGCGGUGCAUUAGCUAGUUGGUGGGGUAACGGCCUACCAAGGCUGCGAUGCAUAGCCGACCUCAAAGGGUGAUCGGCCACACUGGGACUGAGACACGGCCCAGACUCCUACGGGAGGCAGCAGUCGGGAAUCUUCGGCAAUGGACGCAAGUCUGACCGAGCAACGCCGCGUGAGUGAAGAAGGUUUUCGGAUCGUAAAACUCUGUUGUUAGAGAAGAUCAAGGAUGAGAGUGGAAAGUUCAUCCCUUGACGGUAUCUAACCAGAAAGCCACGGCUAACUACGUG